AUUGAACGCUGGCGGCAGGCCUAACACAUGCAAGUCGAGCGGUAGAGAGAAGCUUGCUUCUCUUGAGAGCGGCGGACGGGUGAGUAAUGCCUAGGAAUCUGCCUGGUAGUGGGGGAUAACGUUCGGAAACGAACGCUAAUACCGCAUACGUCCUACGGGAGAAAGCAGGGGACCUUCGGGCCUUGCGCUAUCAGAUGCGCCUAGGUCGGAUUAGCUAGUUGGUGAGGUAAUGGCUCACCAAGGCGACGAUCCGUAACUGGUCUGAGAGGAUGAUCAGUCACACUGGAACUGAGACACGGUCCAGACUCCUACGGGAGGCAGCAGUGGGGAAUAUUGGACAAUGGGCGAAAGCCUGAUCCAGCCAUGCCGCGUGUGUGAAGAAGGUCUUCGGAUUGUAAAGCACUUUAAGUUGGGAGGAAGGGCAGUUACCUAAUACGUGAUUGUUUUUGACGUUACCGACAGAAUAAG
rnacentral:rRNA from 1 species